rnacentral:rRNA from 1 species
AUACGGAGGGGGCUAGCGUUGUUCGGAAUCACUGGGCGUAAAGCGCACGUAGGCGGAUUGGUUAGUUGGGGGUGAAAUCCCGGGGCUCAACCCCGGAACUGCCUCCAAAACUGCCAGUCUCGAGUCCGGGAGAGGUGAGUGGAAUUCCGAGUGUAGAGGUGAAAUUCGUAGAUAUUCGGAGGAACACCAGUGGCGAAGGCGACUCACUGGCCCGGUACUGACGCUGAGGUGCGAAAGCGUGGGGAGCAAACAGGAUUAGAAACCCUGGUAGUCC